CCAGACUCCUACGGGAGGCAGCAGUGGGGAAUAUUGCACAAUGGGGGGAAACCCUGAUGCAGCGACGCCGCGUGAGUGAAGAAGUAUUUCGGUAUGUAAAGCUCUAUCAGCAGGGAAGAAAAUGACGGUACCUGACUAAGAAGCCACGGCUAACUACGUGCCAGCAGCCGCGGUAAUACGUAGGUGGCGAGCGUUGUCCGGAUUUACUGGGCGUAAAGGGAGCGUAGGCGGACUUUUAAGUGAGAUGUGAAAUACUCGGGCUCAACUUGAGUGCUGCAUUUCAAACUGGAAGUCUAGAGUGCAGGAGAGGAGAAUGGAAUUCCUAGUGUAGCGGUGAAAUGCGUAGAGAUUAGGAAGAACACCAGUGGCGAAGGCGGCUUACUGGACUGUAACUGACGUUGAGGCUCGAAAGCGUGGGGAGCAAACAGGAUUAGAUACCCCUGUACC
rnacentral:rRNA from 1 species